CCGCACGACGCGCCCAACAUGCGCUUCUACAUCGUGCCCAUAGGUCCGUGCACGGUGGCGCGCUACCUGGCGGCGUCCGACAGCACGUAUGCGGCGCUGUUCGCGGCCGACAGCUGGCCCGCGCUCUGCGACCGCGCCGCCGACCACUCCAUGCCGGACAUCGCGGACAUGUCCUCCAGGAUCGCCAGGUACCUGAACAGCGCGGGCGCGGUGAACAACGUGGCU